rnacentral:rRNA from 1 species
GACGAACGCUGGCGGCGUGCUUAACACAUGCAAGUCGAACGGAAAGGCCCUGCUUUUGUGGGGUGCUCGAGUGGCGAACGGGUGAGUAACACGUGAGUAACCUGCCCUUGACUUUGGGAUAACUUCAGGAAACUGGGGCUAAUACCGGAUAGGAGCUCCUGCUGCAUGGUGGGGGUUGGAAAGUUUCGGCGGUUGGGGAUGGACUCGCGGCUUAUCAGCUUGUUGGUGGGGUAGUGGCUUACCAAGGCUUUGACGGGUAGCCGGCCUGAGAGGGUGACCGGCCACAUUGGGACUGAGAUACGGCCCAGACUCCUACGGGAGGCAGCAGUGGGGAAUAUUGCACAAUGGGCGGAAGCCUGCUGCAGCAACGCCGCGUGCGGGAUGACGGCCUUCGGGUUGUAAACCGCUUUCGCCUGUGACGAAGCGUGAGUGACGGUAAUGGGUAAAGAAGCACCGGCUAACUACGU